GAUCCUGGCUCAGGACGAACGCUGGCGGCGUGCUUAACACAUGCAAGUCGAACGAGAGUCUGUGGAUCGAGGAUUCGUCCAAGUGAAGCAGAGGACAGUGGCGGACGGGUGAGUAACGCGUGAGGAACCUGCCUUUCAGAGGGGGACGAACAGUUGGAAACGACUGCUAAUACCGCAUGAUACAUUUGGGUGGCAUCAUCUGAAUGUCAAAGAUUUAUCGCUGAAAGAUGG
rnacentral:rRNA from 1 species